rnacentral:lncRNA from 10 species
CGGGGCUCCUGCUUGUUCCUGGCCCUUGCCUGCUCGUGGAGCGAGAGGGCCAGGUCAGCAGCAGCGGGUUGGGUGGCUGCAACUGCACCAGGGAGGGCAGAUCCUGCCUGUUCCCAGCCCCUUCCAAGAGCACAGGAAGGCUCGGAUCCACAGCUGCAGUUUUGGCUGAUGUAGCCCCGCUACGUAUUGCAGGAGGGUGGGGCUCCUGCCUGUUACGUGAAGCAGGGGGCCUGGAUCUGCUGCCGAGGUUUGAGGUUUGGGCGGCUGCAGUGGCACCCGGGAAGUUUCUGCCCCAAAUCAGAAGGAGUGGGGCUCCCACUGACUCCACAGAGUGUGCAGCCCCAGCCCUCCUCUCUGCUGCAGCCGGGGUAAUGGCAGCAGCUGUUGCCAUCAACUGCAUUUGGAAAUAGAACCUUAAAAGAGGUACUUAAGUUAAAAUGUGGUUUUAGGGUGGGUUCUAACUCAAUACCACUGUGCCCUUAUAAAAAGAGGAGAUUAGGACACAGUCGACAAAGAGGAUGACCAUGUGAGGACGCAGCAAAAAGGCGACCACCUGGGAGCCAAGGAGAGAGGCCUCAGAAGAAACAAAACCUGCCAACCCCUUGAACUCAGACUCUCAGCCUCCAAAAUUGUGAGAAAAUUCUUCUGUUGUUUAAACCAUCCAGUCUGUAGCAUUUUGCUAUGGCAGCCGUAGAAAACUCAUACAAAGGGUAACAGCAAGAGUCUAUUUGUCAAGAUUUCUCCCUAAAGCCCUUUGGCUACUCAGGAAGGCCCUGCGUGAAACUUGCCAAGGAUUCCAUAUGACAGUUGCAGUUGGAUUAGAGUCAAAAAUUCCAGAGCAGCAGGCCCAAGGAAGAAUAACAGUAUGCAGAAAUGAGGCAUUUGGCUGCUUAAGAAAUCAAGAGGGGGGCACACAAACAGAUCUGCUUCAGAAAGCUACAGCAGAGGCAUCCGUCAUUAUUACUGUGAAGACAUUCAUGCUUGGAGGUGAAGCAAUUGUCUCAUGAAGUAAGAAUCCUGUUUGCAUACUUCUUUAUGGGCAACUUGUUUUAUUGCACUUAGCAGAUACUGAAUUUUUGCAGACACAAGUUUUAUGGUAACUAUGACUGAGCAAGUCUAUUGACACUAUUUUUCCAACAGCAUGUGUUUACUUCCUGUCUUUGUGUCACACUUUGAUAAUUUACACGAUUUUCAAUUUAUUAUUAUUAUUGUAUCUGUUACGGUGAUCAGUGAUCAAUGACCUUUGAUAAUACUAUUGUAAUUGUUUCAGGGUGCCAUGAACUGUGCCCGUAUAAGACAGCAGAUUUAAUCAAUAAAUGUUGUUCAUAUUCUGUCUGCUUCAGUGACAGACCACUUCCCUGUCUCUCUCCCUCUUCUUGGGCCUCCCUAUUCUCUAACUUUAACAAUAUUAAAAUCAGACCAAUUAAGGAGGCUGGGACCCGUGGCUCACACCUGUAAUCCCAGCACUUUGGGAGGCUGAGGCAUGUGGAUCAUGAGGUCAGGAGAUUGAGACCAUUCUGGCCAACAUGGUGAAACCCUGUCUCUACUAAAAAUACAAAAAAAUUAGUUGGGCAUGGUGGCAUGUACCUAUAGUCUCAGUUACUCAGGAAGCUGAAGCAGGAGAAUAGCUUGAACCCGGGAGGUGGAGUUUGCAGUGAGCAGAGAUUGCGCUACUUCACUCCAGCCUGGCAACAGAGUGAGACUCCGUCUCAAAAACAAACAAACAACAACAAAAAUUAGACCAAUUAAAAUCCCUACAGUGGCCUCUAAGUGUUCAAGUGAGAGGAAGAAUCACACAUCUCUCACUUUAAGUCAAAAGCUAGAAAUGAUUAAGCUUACUGUGAAAGGCAUGUUGAAACUCAAGAUAGGCUGAAAUCUAGGCCUCUUGCCCCAACCAGUUAGCUAAGUUGUGAAUGUAAAGGAAGAGUUUUUAAGAGAAAUUAAAGUGCUACUCCUGUGAACACAUGAAUAAGUAAGCAAAACAGCAUUAUUGUUGAUAUGGAGAAAAUUUUAGUGGUCGGGAUAGAAGAUCAAACCAGCUACAACAUUCCUUUAAACUAAAGCCUAGUCCAGAGCAAGAAUCUAAAUAUCUUCAAUUCUAUGAAAGUUGAGAAAAGUGAGGAAGCUGCAGAAGAAAAGUUGGAAACUGACAGAGGUUGGUCCAUAAGUCCUAAGAUUUAAGGAAUAAAACUGUCUGCGUAACAUCAACGUGUAAGGUGAAGCAGCAAGUGCUGACGUAGACACUGCAGCAAAUUGUCCAGAAAGACCUAGCUAAGAUGUUUGAUGAAGGUGGCUACAAUACACAACAGAUUUUCAAUGUAGAUGAAAAAGCUUUCUAUUGGAAGAAGAUGCCAUCUAGAACUUUCAGAGCUACAAAGGAGAAGUCACUGCCUGGCUUCAAAGUUUCAAAGGACAGACUUACUCUUUUAUGAGGUGCUAAGGCAGCUCAUGACUUUAAGUUGAAGCCAAUGCUCAUUUACCAUUCUGAAAAUCCUAGGGCCCUAAAGAAUUACUCUAAAUGUACUCUGCCUGUGUGCUAUAAAUGGAACAAUGAUGCCUGGAUGACAGUACAUCUGCUUACAGCGUGUUUUACUUAAUAUUUUAAGCCCACUGUUGAGACCUACUGCUCAGAAAAAAAGAUUCCUUUCAAAAUAUUGCUGCUCACUGCCAAGACAGCUAGUGCCCCAAGAGCUCUGAUGAAGAUGUAUGAGAAGAUUAAUGUUGUUUUCGUGCCUAAUAACACCUCCAUUCUGCAGCCCAUGGAUUAAGAAGUAAUUUUAUAAGGCUGUAGCUGCCAUAGAUAUUAAUUCCUC